rnacentral:rRNA from 1 species
GUCCACGCCGUAACGAUGGGUGCUAGACGUUGGCGGGCUUGCUCGUCAGUCUCGCAGCUAACGCGUUAAGCACCCCGCCUGGGGAGUACGGCCGCAAGGUUGAAACUCAAAGGAAUUGACGGGGCCCGCACAAGCGGUGGAGCAUGUGGUUCAAUUCGACGCAACGCGCAGAACCUUACCAGCCCUUGACAUGUGACUCGCCGGGACCAGAGACGGUCCCUUCGGUUCGGCCGGAGUCAACACAGGUGCUGCAUGGCUGUCGU